rnacentral:tRNA from 1 species
GGGCUAGCAUGGUGUAGUGGUUUGAUUGUUAGACUAUGACUCUAGAGACCAAGGUUCAAUUCCCUGCUCAUCUA